UACGGGGGGGGCAAGCGUUGUUCGGAAUUACUGGGCGUAAAGGGCUCGUAGGCGGCCAACUAAGUCAGACGUGAAAUCCCUCGGCUUAACCGGGGAACUGCAUCUGAUACUGGAUGGCUAGAGUCCGGAAGAGGAGAGUGGAAUUCCUGGUGUAGCGGUGAAAUGCGCAGAUAUCAGGAAGAACACCUAUGGCGAAGGCAGCUCUCUGGGACGGUACUGACGCUGAGACGCGAAAGCGUGGGGAGCGAACAGG
rnacentral:rRNA from 1 species